GGGGGUUUUAAACGACGGGACUUCGGUCCUUGCUGCACCCUUGUCUUUUGCGUACCGUAUGUUUCCUCGGCGGGCUUGCCUGCCGGUUGGACAUUAUCAAACCUUUUUGUAGUUGCAAUCAGCGUCAGAAAACAAACAAUAAUUACAACUUUCAACAACGGAUCUCUUGGUUCUGGCAUCGAUGAAGAACGCAGCGAAAUGCGAAAAGUAGUGUGAAUUGCAGAAUUCAGUGAAUCAUCGAAUCUUUGAACGCACAUUGCGCCCCUUGGUAUUCCAUGGGGCAUGCCUGUUCGAGCGUCAUUUUGUACCCUCAAGCACUGCUUGGUGUUGGGCGUUUGUCCUGCAAAGGACUCGCCUGAAAGCGAUUGGCGGCCAACGUACUGGUGGUAGAGCGCAGCACAAUUUGCGUCUCUCCCUUCUACGUCGGCGUCCAUGAAGCCUUUUUUCAACGUUUGACCUCGGAUCAGGUAGGGAUACCCGCUGAACUUAAGCAUAUCAAUAAGCGGAGGAAAGG
rnacentral:rRNA from 1 species